rnacentral:rRNA from 1 species
GCAGCUUCCCUGACUCUCCGAGGAAGGGAAGGCUGAGUGGCGAACGGGUGAGUAACGCGUGAGUAACCUGCCUUGAGGAGGGGGAUAACCCCUCGAAAGGGGGGCUAAUACCCCAUACACUCCAGGGCCGCAGGGCUUCUGGAGGAAAGCUGGCCUCUGCUUGGCAUGCUGGCGCCUCAAGAGGGGCUCGCGUCCCAUCAGCUUGUUGGUGGGGUAACGGCCUACCAAGGCGAUGACGGGUAGCCGGCCUGAGAGGGUGUCCGGCCACACUGGGACUGAGACACGGCCCAGACUCCUACGGGAGGCAGCAGUGAGGAAUCUUGGGCAAUGGGCGAAAGCCUGACCCAGCGACGCCGCGUGGGGGAAGAAGGCCUUCGGGUCGUAAACCCCUGUUCUGGGAGAAGAAGAGGGAAGGGGUGAACAGCUCCUUCCUGUGACGGUAUCCCAGGAGAAAGCUCCGGCUAAUUACGUGCCAGCAGCCGCGGUAAUACGUAAGGAGCGAGCGUUGUCCGGAUUCACUGGGCGUAAAGCGCUCGUAGGCGGCUCCCUAAGUCUCACGUGAAAGCCCUCGGCUCAACCGGGGAGGGUCGUGGGAAACUGGGGAGCUC